UCAUCUCUAUACUUUGAUAUUAUUAUACCUACCUUCAUUCCCCUCCGAGUACUACCCACGCGCUAGCUUCAAACCCAAAGGAAUUGGCGGUGCUCCAAACACAUCUAGAGGAGCCUGUUCUAUAACCCAUGAUCCGCGUUUAACCUCACCACUUCUUGCCCUAAACCGCCUAUAUACCGCCGUCGCCAGCUCACCCUAUGAAGGUUUAACAGUAAGCAAAAUGACCCUCCCUCAACACGUCAGGUCGAGGUGUAGCGAAUGAAGUGGGAAGAAAUGGGCUACAUUCUCUAUCAAGAACACACGAAAAGAAGCAUGAAAACCCUCUCAAAGGUGGAUUUAGCAGUAAGUGAACUUUAGAACAUUACACUGAAACCGGCUCUGGAGCGCGCACACACCGCCCGUCACCCUAAACACAAAGCCCGUCACCAUCACACACCUCUCGUCACCAAAAAAAACAACCCCCCGCCUGGGGGGGGGGGGGGGAAAAAAUUCUCACGCGCUCCGCGCGCGGCGGGCGGGCGGGGU
rnacentral:rRNA from 1 species